ACUCCUACGGGAGGCAGCAGUGGGGAAUAUUGCACAAUGGGCGCAAGCCUGAUGCAGCCAUGCCGCGUGUAUGAAGAAGGCCUUCGGGUUGUAAAGUACUUUCAGCAGUGAGGAAGGUGGGUAUGUUAAUAGCAUAUUCAUUUGACGUUAGCUGCAGAAGAAGCACCGGCUAACUCCGUGCCAGCAGCCGCGGUAAUACGGAGGGUGCGAGCGUUAAUCGGAAUUACUGGGCGUAAAGCGCAUGCAGGUGGUUUGUUAAGUCAGAUGUGAAAGCCCGGGGCUCAACCUCGGAAUUGCAUUUGAAACUGGCAAACUAGAGUACUGUAGAGGGGGUAGAAUUUCAGGUGUAGCGGUGAAAUGCGUAGAGAUCUGAAGGAAUACCGGUGGCGAAGGCGGCCCCCUGGACAGAUACUGACACUCAGAUGCGAAAGCGUGGGGAGCAAACAGGAUUAGAUACCCUGGUAGCUCUGC
rnacentral:rRNA from 1 species